GUAAAUAUGGCGUCGAGCGGGAAAGUCGAUGCAUUUGAGAAUAAUAUCUUUAGUGAUAUCUGAGACGGGACAGGUACAACGUACAAGUGAAUCAGAAAUUCUAAAGUAUGGGAUGUGGGUCAAGUGUUCAUCAAGUAGAAGUUGAUGAAGCAGAGGAAAGAAAUGAUGUAGAUCCUUACAAGAAAGCAACAAAAUCUGUUGGGAGAACUGGUUUUGGAAAGGAGCAAAACUUAGUAAAUGCAGCCUCAACAGAAGAGGGAAAGAACUUGAGGGAGCAAGAGAAACAUGUCACUGGCGAAGUAUUAUCUGAUAUACAAAAUAUUUCUACAACUUCUGCAAAGACAGAGCAGGCAAAAUCAGGGGAGAAAU